rnacentral:lncRNA from 1 species
CCCCGUGUCAGAUUUGCUCUUAAUGCCUUAGGUUAAGAGAUAUAAGCCAACAACUGCAUUUUACUCCUAUGUUCUGUCUUUACCUAUGUGAGUCAUGUUGUUUGGCAGGCGGGGACACAGGACACAUUGUGUAAACAAAAUACUGUAUAAUGAAUUUUUUUCUUUUGAAAACUCUUUUGUUUUAUACUCGGCCGUUAGUUUUCCCAAUUAAUGAUUAAAAUGUUUAUAUUGGGCUUUUCUAUAUAGCUUAACGGUAUGUUUUUUUUUCUCAUUGAUUAAAGUCGUACUAUUCUUGUGAUAUGAGACAUUGAUAUUUCGUGUUGUUCCGCUGAUUUGUGAUUGUGAUAAUAAAACGUAUGUACUGUGGUUCUAAAUCAUACUUCUUCAUAAAACGGUUACAUUAUAUUUUGAGUUACGACCACACCUAAUAGUGAGGUCCGUACAUCAGUGACGUUGCUUAAGCAUGCCGUUUCAUUUGAGUUGACGAUUAAAUCCUGACGUUUAUCAUGAUAACCAUGUAUUCUAUUGUAAAGUAGUCAAGUUGUGUCAUCAGUUAAUAUAAACACCACUGGGUCGAUGUCACUGCUGGUGGACGUUUCGUAUCAGGGUAUCACCAGCCCAGUGGUCAGCAUUUCGGUCUUAACAUGAAUAUCAAUUAUAUAGUAGUUUUAUAAAUUUCCUGUUUACAAAACUUUGCAGUUUUCGAAAAACAAAUGAUUUUCUUGUGUCGGGCAUGUAUUACCUCAGCCGUUUUUGGCACAACAUUUUGGAAUUUUGGGUCCUCAAAUACUCUUCAACAUUGUACUUGUUUGGCUUUAUAACUAUUUUUAUCUGAGCGUGACUGACGAGUCUUAUGCAGUCGAAACGCGCGUCUGGCGUUUAAAUUAUAGUCCUGGUACAUUUGAUAAAUAGUUUUAAGUAACCGAUAUGAGUUCGCUUCAUAUCAAUACAACAACAAGACAAGACGUAGAAAUACCAACUAUAUGGUGAAUAUCAGUUUAUAAAACUAUACAAAUAGUUUUGCUUAUAUUUCUCUGAGUUCAGUGCUAUAUUGCCGAUUCAAGAUUCAACUUGAGUCUACACAAGAAUAAAGUUUCUACGAUUUCUAUUUCCGAUUGUCCAUAUAAGUAUACACAUGUACUCCUAGUAUUAUUGUAGCCUUAGCCCAACAUUUUUCACAACCUUUCGAGUUAUUCUAAAAGACAAAAUAAUUAUCAAAAGUGAAACGAAGUAAGGCUAGUCGAUGCAUUAAGAAAUUUGAACAUGAUUUC